rnacentral:antisense_RNA from 1 species
CAUCGCACGACAUUGCUCACAUUGCUUCCUAUUGGAAUACAGCCGGCCCUCAAGCCGGCUUCUUUUU